ensembl:lncRNA
GUCUAUCCGGUUAACUAGGUCAUCAUUGCCCAAACCUGCGUGGCCUGAAAUAAGACAAUAAAGGACCAAAGGGGCCACACAGACACGUACGAGCUAUGUGAUGUGCCUGCCCUUGUUUCUUUUCUCAGCUGAGGCCCCUCCUGCCUUGCCUCUGUCCUCAUCCACCUGUCUUGGAUUUUGACUUGUGAGACAGGGCUGGGGCCUUUCAGGUCCUAAUCUGCAAAACUGGAAUAAAAAUCCCUUUUGCGAUCAUUAUCCAAAGAUGUGAACAGAACGGAUGUGAAAAUAUGCUCCAAGGAAUCCUCAUCUUUCAACCUCAAUAAAACUUUGUAUAAAACAUCUGCCCUGAAGGGAGGCUUUAACCCCGAGCAGCAUGGGCUCAGAGGACAUCACGUCAGGACACACGGACCUUUACGGGGAAGAUGUGUUCUCAUCCGGGCCAGGUGUUCAUGGCAGACUCGCACCCCAUCCUUAACUGUGUCAGCAGCCUGGUCUGGAAUCAGAUGCAAGGAAGGGAAAAUCCUUUUCAUGAAUUCACAGAAGGUUUCACCACGUGCUCUUGCCAUGAAGCCUUUUCACCAUGCACCGUUGUUACUAGCACAC